AAUUAAGGAUAUUUUUAUCAAAUUCAUGACACUAAAACUAUAUGUACACUCAUUGAAAACAAAAGCUGAAAAGCUGUGGCACAGUGCUUUUAUUGCUGCUUUUCAACUGAAUUCAAAUGACCACUAAUAAUGAGUAUAAUAGAUGACCCCUUAUAGCCUCAAAUAGAUAUAAGAAGAUGUGGUAUGAGUAUAACAGGACUGUUAGAAAACGAAUCACAAUUAAAUUGAUUAGGUACACAGCUAUAAAUUUCAGUACAAAAUUAUAGAAAACAUUUCUUAGUUAUCAGUAGUGUAUUCCAGGCCUUUCACUAUUAUACGAGCCAUUCUCAAUUAUUUUAAAAAAUGUCCGAUAGCUUGUCUAUCACAAUAUGCUUCUGCUAAAUCUGUCCAAAACUUACUGUAGUAGUAGGACUGGCAAAUGUCAGCAUCCCCAG
rnacentral:lncRNA from 1 species